rnacentral:rRNA from 1 species
UAGGGACGGGCCUACCAAGGCGAUGAUGCAUAGCCGAGUUGAGAGACUGAUCGGCCACAUUGGGACUGAGACACGGCCCAAAACUCCUACGGGAGGCAGCAGUAGGGAAUCUUCCACAAUGGACGCAAGUCUGAUGGAGCAACGCCGCGUGAGUGAAGAAGGGUUUCGGCUCGUAAAGCUCUGUUGUUGGUGAAGAAGGACAGGGGGUAGUAACUGACCUUUGUUUGACGGUAAUCAAUUAGAAAGUCACGGCUAACUACGUGCCAGCAGCCGCGGUAAAU